rnacentral:rRNA from 1 species
GACGAACGCUGGCGGCGUGCUUAGCACAUGCAAGUCGAACGGUAAGGCCCUUCGGGGUACACGAGUGGCGAACGGGUGAGUAACACGUGGGUGAUCUGCCCUGCACUUCGGGAUAAGCCUGGGAAACUGGGUCUAAUACCGGAUAGGACCACUGCCUGCAUGGGUGGUGGUGGAAAGCUUUUGCGGUGUGGGAUGGGCCCGCGGCCUAUCAGCUUGUUGGUGGGGUGAUGGCCUACCAAGGCGACGACGGGUAGCCGGCCUGAGAGGGUGACCGGCCACACUGGGACUGGGAUACGGCCCAGACGCCUACGGGAGGCAGCAGUGGGGAAUAUUGCACAAUGGGCGCAAGCCUGAUGCAGCGACGCCGCGUGAGGGAUGACGGCCUUCGGGUUGUAAACCCCUUUCAGCACCGACGAAGCGCAAGUGACGGUAGGUGCAGAAGAAGGACCGGCCAACUACGUGCCAGCCGCCGCCGUAA